GGUGAUAAAGCUCAGUUGGUAGAGUGCUUGCCUUACUUGCACAAGUCCCUGGGUUCGACCCCCAGCACCCCCA
rnacentral:tRNA from 1 species